rnacentral:lncRNA from 1 species
GGCAUUUAAUGAAAACGUGGCAAAGAGGGAGUGAACAGAGCGCCUAUAUAUACACAUACCAUAUCCUAUAUAUGCUAUGUAUGUAUUUGUGCUGAAAAGAUAAAUUUUUUUUAAAAAAAAUGAAAAUUAGAAAGAUGAACAAGUGGGUCCGUCCCCCUGUUUGAUGCUCUCCUCCUCCCCAAUGCCCAGACCAGAUGUUGUCCGCGUGUGAGAGUUCUUAAU